rnacentral:lncRNA from 1 species
UCCAGGAGCUAUGGAUGUUUGUCCCCUUGGUAACCUGAAUGACAAAUGUGGGCAGGAUGGCAAUGAGAAAGUGAUAAGCCUACCAGAAUAUCAGCAGAUGUCCUUUUGGAUGCAUCAUCUGCAUUGUACUAAAAACACAUGGAAGCUGUUUUCCACAGAGGCAGAGCUCUGCUCUAAGCUUGGCGCCAGAUCAGUUCAUACUAGGUUGCGAGGAGGGAGAGAAAAGGUGAUAAUGGAAGAAGGGUCAGAGAGGUGAAGUGGAAGAAGAGAUUUUGAGCAUGAGAGGCACUCUCACUGCUUGAUUCACUACUGAUUGACUCAGAGAACUCCAAAUCUACCAUGACUGUUCUUACUACUAUGCCCUUCUCAUACUGUUCCUUCUCUGGUUCCUUCCUCUAAAUCUUAGCAGUCUGUGGUCUCAUCCCACUCUGGAGCAAAGCCAAUUCUAAC